AUUGAACGCUGGCGGCAUGCCUUACACAUGCAAGUCGAACGGUAACAGGUCUUCGGAUGCUGACGAGUGGCGAACGGGUGAGUAAUACAUCGGAACGUGCCCGAGAGUGGGGGAUAACGAGGCGAAAGCUUUGCUAAUACCGCAUACGAUCUCAGGAUGAAAGCAGGGGACCGCAAGGCCUUGCGCUCACGGAGCGGCCGAUGGCCGAUUAGGUAGUUGGUGGGAUAAAAGCUUACCAAGCCGACGAUCUGUAGCUGGUCUGAGAGGACGAUCAGCCACACUGGGACUGAGACACGGCCCAGACUCCUACGGGAGGCAGCAGUGGGGAAUUUUGGACAAUGGGCGAAAGCCUGAUCCAGCAAUGCCGCGUGCAGGAUGAAGGCCUUCGGGUUGUAAACUGCUUUUGUACGGAACGAAAAGCCCUGGGUUAAUACCCUGGGGUCAUGACGGUACCGUAAGAAUAAGCACCGGCUAACUACGUGCCAGCAGCCGCAGUAAUAC
rnacentral:rRNA from 1 species